rnacentral:rRNA from 1 species
UACAGAGGUCUCGAGCGUUAGGCGGAAUCACUGGGCUUAAAGCGUGUGUAGGCGGAUCGUUAAGUGUCUUGUGAAAUCCCACGGCUCACCCGUGGAACUGCUGGGCAUACUGGCGAUCUUGGGCCAACUAGGGGCAACUGGAACAAGCGGUGGAGCGGUGAAAUGCGUAGAUAUCGCUUGGAACGCCAAAGGUGAAAACAGGUUGCUGGGGUUGUGCCGACGCUGAGACACGAAAGCCAGGGGAGCAAACGGG